rnacentral:rRNA from 1 species
GAAGCUUGCUUCUUUGCUGACGAGUGGCGGACGGGUGAGUAAUGUCUGGGAAACUGCCUGAUGGAGGGGGAUAACUACUGGAAACGGUAGCUAAUACCGCAUAACGUCGCAAGACCAAAGAGGGGGACCUUCGGGCCUCUUGCCAUCGGAUGUGCCCAGAUGGGAUUAGCUAGUAGGUGGGGUAACGGCUCACCUAGGCGACGAUCCCUAGCUGGUCUGAGAGGAUGACCAGCCACACUGGAACUGAGACACGGUCCAGACUCCUACGGGAGGCAGCAGUGGGGAAUAUUGCACAAUGGGCGCAAGCCUGAUGCAGCCAUGCCGCGUGUAUGAAGAAGGCCUUCGGGUUGUAAAGUACUUUCAGCGGGGAGGAAGGGAGUAAAGUUAAUACCUUUGCUCAUUGACGUUACCCGCAGAAGAAGCACCGGCUAAC